rnacentral:ncRNA from 1 species
GAUGAUUGAGGUCGGAAAUGGCUCCCGACACACUCGAAAGAGUACCUGAGAUGCAGGAUACGCCACCCUGCCAAUUAUC